AGUGAACGCUGGCGGUAGGCCUAACACAUGCAAGUCGAACGGCAGCACAGUAAGAGCUUGCUCUUACGGGUGGCGAGUGGCGGACGGGUGAGGAAUACAUCGGAAUCUACUUUUUCGUGGGGGAUAACGUAGGGAAACUUACGCUAAUACCGCAUACGACCUACGGGUGAAAGCAGGGGAUCUUCGGACCUUGCGCGAUUGAAUGAGCCGAUGUCGGAUUAGCUAGUUGGCGGGGUAAAGGCCCACCAAGGCGACGAUCCGUAGCUGGUCUGAGAGGAUGAUCAGCCACACUGGAACUGAGACACGGUCCAGACUCCUACGGGAGGCAGCAGUGGGGAAUAUUGGACAAUGGGCGCAAGCCUGAUCCAGCAAUACCGCGUGGGUGAAGAAGGCCUUCGGGUUGUAAAGCCCUUUUGUUGGGAAAGAAAAGCAGCAGGUUAAUACCCCGAUGUUCUGACGGUACCCAAAGAAUAAGCACCGGCUAACUUCGUG
rnacentral:rRNA from 1 species